CUACGGGUUGCAGCAGUGAGGAAUAUUGCACAAUGGGGGAAACCCUGAUGCAGCAACGCCGCGUGGAGGAUGACGCAUUUCGGUGUGUAAACUCCUUUUAUGAGUCAAGAAAAUGACGGUAGCUCAUGAAUAAGCACCGGCUAACUCCGUGCCAGCAGCCGCGGUAAUACGGAGGGUGCAAGCGUUACUCGGAAUCACUGGGUGUAAAGGACGCGUAGGCGGGUUGUCAAGUCAGGUGUGAAAUCCUACAGCUUAACUGUAGAACUGCACUUGAAACUGGCAACCUAGAGUAUGGGAGGGGGAGAUGGAAUUAGUGGUGUAGGGGUAAAAUCCGUAGAUAUCACUAGGAAUACCGAAAGCGAAGGCGAUCUCCUGGAACAUUACUGACGCUAAGGCGUGAAAGCGUGGGGAGCAAACAGGAUUAGAUACCCGUGUAGUC
rnacentral:rRNA from 1 species